AACGUAGGGGGCGAGCGUUGUCCGGAAUUACUGGGCGUAAAGGGCGUGUAGGCGGCUAGGUAAGUCAGGUGUGAAAACUUUGGGCUCAACCGGGAGAUUGCACCUGAAACUGCGUAGCUUGAGGGUAGGAGAGGGAAGUGGAAUUCCUAGUGUAGCGGUGAAAUGCGUAGAUAUUAGGAGGAACACCAGUGGCGAAGGCGACUUUCUGGCCUAACCCUGACGCUGAGGCGCGAAAGCGUGGGGAGCAAACAGG
rnacentral:rRNA from 1 species